GGGACACGUGGUAUCCUGUCUGAAUAUGGGGGGACCAUCCUCCAAGGCUAAAUACUCCUGACUGACCGAUAGUGAACCAGUACCGUGAGGGAAAGGCGAAAAGAACCCCGGCGAGGGGAGUGAAAAAGAACCUGAAACCGUGUACGUACAAGCAGUGGGAGCACAGAGCAAUCUGUGUGACUGCGUACCUUUUGUAUAAUGGGUCAGCGACUUAUAUUCUGUAGCAAGGUUAACCGAAUAGGGGAGCCGAAGGGAAACCGAGUCUUAACUGGGCGUUAAGUUGCAGGGUAUAGACCCGAAACCCGGUGAUCUAGCCAUGGGCAGGUUGAAGGUUGGGUAACACUAACUGGAGGACCGAACCGACUAAUGUUGAAAAAUUAGCGGAUGACUUGUGGCUGGGGGUGAAAGGCCAAUCAAACCGGGAGAUAGCUGGUUCUCCCCGAAAGCUAUUUAGGUAGCGCCUCGUGAAUUCAUCUCCGGGGGUAGAGCACUGUUUCGGCAAGGGGGUCAUCCCGACUUACCAACCCGAUGCAAACUGCGAAUACCGGAGAAUGUUAUCACGGGAGACACACGGCGGGUGCUAACGUCCGUCGUGAAGAGGGAAACAACCCAGACCGCCAGCUAAGGUCCCAAAGUCAUGGUUAAGUGGGAAACGAUGUGGGAAGGCCCAGACAGCCAGGAUGUUGGCUUAGAAGCAGCCAUCAUUUAAAGAAAGCGUAAUAGCUCACUGGUCGAGUCGGCCUGCGCGGAAGAUGUAACGGGGCUAAACCAUGCACCGAAGCUGCGGCAGCGACGCUGAUGCGUUGUUGGGUAGGGGAGCGUUCUGUAAGCCUGCGAAGGUGUGCUGUGAGGCAUGCUGGAGGUAUCAGAAGUGCGAAUGCUGACAUAAGUAACGAUAAAGCGGGUGAAAAGCCCGCUCGCCGGAAGACCAAGGGUUCCUGUCCAACGUUAAUCGGGGCAGGGUGAGUCGACCCCUAAGGCGAGGCCGAAAGGCGUAGUCGAUGGGAAACAGGUUAAUAUUCCUGUACUUGGUGUUACUGCGAAGGGGGGACGGAGAAGGCUAUGUUGGCCGGGCGACGGUUGUCCCGGUUUAAGCGUGUAGGCUGGUUUUCCAGGCAAAUCCGGAAAAC
rnacentral:rRNA from 1 species